UGGGACCCCCCCAGUGCCCCCCAAGUGCUCACAGCCACCACUGCUCACUACCAACACUACUUUAUUGUACGGCAGCGCCAUGGGGUGGGACCCAUAGAUGUGGGGCAGACCCAUAGAUGUGGGGCAGACCCAUAGAUGUGGGCUGGGACCCAUAGAUGUGGGGUGGGACCCAUAGAUGAGGAACAGACCCAUAGAUGUGGGGCAGACCCACAGAUGUGGGGUGGGACCCAUAGAUGAGGGGCAGACCCAUAGAUGAGGAACAGACCCAUAGAUGUGGGGUGGGACCCAUAGAUGAGGGGCAGACCCAUAGAUGUGGGGCGGGACCCAUAGAUGUGGAGCAGACCCACAGAUGUGGGGUGGGACCCAUAGAUGUGGGGCAGAGUCACCACUGUGGGGCAGAGGCCUCAUCUAUGGGGCAGAGCCAUGGGGUAGAGGCCUCAUCUAUGGGGCAGUCGCCAUCUGUGGGGCAGAGGCAUCAUCUAUGGGGCAGAGGACUCAUCUAUGGGGCAGAGGCCCCAUCUAUGGGGCGGAGGCGCGAUGUGUGGGGCAGAGCCAUGGGACAGAGGCCUCAUCUAUGGGGCAGAAGCAUCAUCUAUGGGGCAGAGGCCUCAUCUAUGGGGCAGAAGCCUCAUCUAUGGGGCAGAGGCCCCAUCCGUGGGGCAGAGGCGCGAUGUGUGGGGCUCAGUAGUUGGAGGAGCGCUCCUGCUGUCUGUAGGCCCCACGGCGAAGGUAACCGCCGUCCCCCUUCCGGUAGCCGUCCUUCUGAUCUGUGGGGCACAGGAACACUUAUGGGGCACAGCAGCACUUAUGGGGCAGAGAGGUACUUAUGGGGCACAGAAACACAGGGCAGAGGAGUACUUAUGGGGCAGAGAGAUACUUAUGGGGCACAGAAACACGGGGCACAGGAGUACUUAUGGGGCACAGGAACACUUAU
ensembl:lncRNA